AUGGUGCAUCAGCUGGAUGUUAAUGAGAAUCUCUUCAAGGUGUUGCUAUUUCCUGACUGGGUAGCGUUCCAGAAGAGAUCCCCAUUUAGCAGUGGUGUGGAAGUGCUGGAGCUGCACGUCACCACAUCCAGCACUGGCAGUCUAGGGAUCAGCAUUCCAAGUGACCACUUUCCAUUUCUGUCUUUAACAGGCUUGGGAAAAACCAAGAGAAAGACGAGCGCGCGAGACGCUUCACCCACUCCCAGCACAGACGCGGAAUACCCAUCCAACGGCAGCAGUGCCGACCGGAUCUACGAUCUGAACAUUCCAGCCUACGUCAAAUUCGCCUACGUCGCGGAGAGAGAGGAUGAACUGUCCCUCGUGAAAGGCUCCCGAGUGAUUGUCAUGGAGAAGUGCAGCGAUGGCUGGUGGAGAGGUAGCUACAACGGACAGAUCGGCUGGUUUCCUUCGAACUAUGUGGUGGAGGAGGUUGAGGAGGCAACUGCAGAUUCCCCCAGCUUCCUCAGCCUAAGGAAAGGAGCUUCCAUGAGUAACGGCCAGGGCACCAAAGUACUCCACAUUGUUCAGACACUGUAUCCCUUCAGCUCCGUCACAGAAGAAGAGCUCAAUUUUGAAAAAGGGGAAACGAUGGAAGUCAUUGAAAAGCCAGAAAAUGACCCGGAAUGGUGGAAAUGUAAAAAUUCCAGAGGGCAAAUUGGUCUUGUUCCUAAAAACUAUGUAGUAAUCAUUAGUGAUGGUCCUACCAUUAACACUUCCCAUCCGUCUCAGAUAAGCUACACGGGACCAUCUUCUACCGGACGCUUUGCUGGAAGAGAGUGGUAUUAUGGGAAUGUUACCCGACACCAAGCAGAAUGUGCCCUGAACGAGAGGGGAGUGGAAGGAGAUUUCCUUGUUAGAGAUAGUGAGUCUUCG